CAAGACCUCAUGCUUUUGGAGCGGCCGAUGUCUGAUUAGCUAGUUGGUGGGGUAAUGGCUCACCAAGGCGACGAUCAGUAGUUGGUCUGAGAGGACGACCAGCCACACUGGGACUGAGACACGGCCCAGACUCCUACGGGAGGCAGCAGUGGGGAAUUUUGGACAAUGGGCGCAAGCCUGACCCAGCAAUGCCGCGUGAGUGAAGAAGGCCUUCGGGUUGUAAAGCUCUUUCAGUCGAGAAGAAAAGGCUGUGACUAAUAAUCAUAGCUCAUGACGGUAUCGACAGAAGAAGCACCGGCUAACUACGUGCCAGCAGCCGCGGUAAUACGUAGGGUGCGAGCGUUAAUCGGAAUUACUGGGCGUAAAGGGUGCGCAGGCGGUUUUGUAAGUCAGAUGUGAAAUCCCCGGGCUUAACCUGGGAACU
rnacentral:rRNA from 1 species